UGAUGAUGCCCAGUUCGUGUCCGUAGGAAUAUGUGAUAUUAUGAUGAUACUCGGUUCGAGUCCGGAGGAAUAUGUGAUAUUAUGAUGAUGCCCAAUGAAUCCAGAAGAAUACGUGAUAUUAUGAUGAUGUCUGGUUCGAGUUCGAAGGAAUGUGUGAUAUUAUGACAUGCCCGGUCAAUUCGGAGGAAUAUGUUGAUAUUGUGAUAAAGCCCG
rnacentral:lncRNA from 1 species